UCAGUCUGUGGCCAUGAGAAAUAUGAACAACACAGAGAUGAUCCCAGCAAAUGGAGAUGGAGUCCACACUGUCAUCCUGUCUGAACCUGCUGCUGAUUGUCCUACAGGUCCUGGGGAAACUUUAAGAGAAAGCACUGAUGAUUCUGACGCCUACCACAUGUACUGCACCAUUCCUGAUUUGCUUCCUGCAGAAAUGAAGAAUAAUGUGAUUUACAACCUCCUGUAGAACGAAUGAAACACAUCUGGAAGCAUAAAGAAGAAAUCAUGGAUCUUAAAGAUAAUAAUAAUUACCUGUAUUUUUCAGACCAUAAAGCACCCAGAUUAUAAGGCCACAGUGAAUUAACAUGUCUUUGUCCACAUAUAAGGCGCUCCGGAUUAUAAGGCACACCAAAUAUUCUUCCCAAGUGUGUA